rnacentral:rRNA from 1 species
GGCCGGACUUGGUCGUCGCGCCUCUGCUGGGGGACUCGUUGCUUCGGCGGCGAGGUAACCUACGUUACUGUGAAGAAAUUAGAGUGUUUAAAGCAGGCGAUCGCUUGAAUACAUCAGCAUGGAAUAACAAGAUAUGACAUAUGUCUUCUUGUUGGUUUGGGGACAAAUGUAAUGAUUAAUAGGGCCAGUUGGGGGCAUUAGUAUUCAGUAGUCAGAGGUGAAAUUCUUGGAUUUACUGAAGACUAACUAAUGCGAAAGCAUUUGCCAAGGAUGUUUUCAUUAAUCAAGAACGAAAGUUAGGGGAUCGAAGACGAUCAGAUACCGUCGUAGUCUUAACUAUAAACGAUGCCGACUAAGGAUCGGCAGAAGUCGUUAGCGACUCUGUCGGCACUUUGUGAGAAAUCAAAGUUUUUGGGUUCUGGGGGGAGUAUGGUCGCAAGGCUGAAACUUAAAGGAAUUGACGGAAGGGCACCACCAGGAGUGGAGCCUGCGGCUUAAUUUGACUCAACACGGGAAAACUCACCAGGUCCGGACAUAGUAAGGAUUGACAGAUUGAGAGCUCUUUCUCGAUUCUGUGGGUGGUGGUGCAUGGCCGUUCUUAGUUGGUGGAGCGAUUUGUCUGGUUAAUUCCGAUAACGAACGAGACCUUAACCUGCUAACUAGUUGCAGGUACUUUUGUAUCUGACACUUCUUAGAGGGACUGACUA